UACGUAGGUGGCAAGCGUUGUCCGGAUUUACUGGGCGUAAAGGGCGCGUAGGCGGCCUCCGCAAGUCAAUUGUGAAAUCUCCGGGCUUAACUCGGAAAGGUCAACUGAUACUGCGGGGCUAGAGUGCGGAAGGGGCAACUGGAAUUCCUGGUGUAGCGGUGAAAUGCGCAGAUAUCAGGAGGAACACCGGUGGCGAAGGCGGGUCUCUGGGCCGAUACUGACGCUGAGGAGCGAAAGCGUGGGGAGCGAACAGG
rnacentral:rRNA from 1 species